rnacentral:rRNA from 1 species
ACUCCUACGGGAGGCAGCAGUGGGAAUAUUGCACAAUGGGCGAAAGCCUGAUGCAGCGACACCGCGUGCGGGAUGACGGCCUUCGGGUUGUAAACCGCUUUCAGGAGGGAAGAAAAUGACGGUACCUCCAGAAGAAGCUCCGGCCAACUACGUGCCAGCAGCCGCGGUAAUACGUAGGGAGCAAACGUUGUCCGGAUUUAUUGGGCGUAAAGGGCUCGUAGGCGGUUCAACAAGUCGGUCGUGAAAGCCCGGAGCUCAACUCCGGGACGCCGGUCGAAACUGUUGUGACUAGAGUUCGGUAGAGGUGAGUGGAAUUCUCGGUGUAGCGGUGGAAUGCGCAGAUAUCGAGAGGAACACCAUUAGCGAAGGC